GAUGAACGCUGGCGGCGUGCCUAAUACAUGCAAGUCGAGCGAACGGACGAGAAGCUUGCUUUUCUGAUGUUAGCGGCGGACGGGUGAGUAACACGUGGAUAACCUACCUAUAAGACUGGGAUAACUUCGGGAAACCGGAGCUAAUACCGGAUAAUAUUUUGAACCGCAUGGUUCAAAAGUGAAAGACGGUCUUGCUGUCACUUAUAGAUGGAUCCGCGCUUCAUUAGCUAGUUGGUAAGGUAACGGCUUACCAAGGCAACGAUGCAUAGCCGACCUGAGAGGGUGAUCGGCCACACGGGAACUGAGACACGGUCCAGACUCCUACGGGAGGCAGCAGUAGGGAAUCUUCCGCAAUGGGCGAAAGCCUGACGGAGCAACGCCGCGUGAGUGAUGAAGGUCUUCGGAUCGUAAAACUCUGUUAUUAGGGAAGAACAUAUGUGUAAGUAACUGUGCACAUCUUGACGGUACCUAAUCAGAAAGCCACGGCUAACUACGUG
rnacentral:rRNA from 1 species